GACGAACGCUGGCGGCGUGCCUAACACAUGCAAGUCGAACGGAGAUAUGAUUUCGGUUAUAUCUUAGUGGCGAACGGGUGAGUAACGCGUGAGCAACCUGACUCUUAGAGGGGGAUAACACCCGGAAACGAGUGCUAAUACCGCAUAAGACCACGACAUGGCAUCAUGACGAGGUCAAAGGAGCAAUCCGCUGAGAGAGGGGCUCGCGUCCCAUUAGAUAGAUGGCGGGGUAACGGCCCACCAUGUCAGCGAUGGGUAGCCGAGCUGAGAGGCUGAUCGGCCACACUGGAACUGAGACACGGUCCAGACUCCUACGGGAGGCAGCAGUGGGGAAUAUUGGGCAAUGGGCGCAAGCCUGACCCAGCAACGCCGCGUGAGGGAAGAAGGCUUUCGGGUUGUAAACCUCUGUCCUUGGUGACGAAAAAAUGACGUAGCCAAGGAGAAGCCCGGCUAACUACGUGCCAGCAGCCGCGGUAAUCUAGUCU
rnacentral:rRNA from 1 species